UGAGGAACAUGACCUUCGGCGGGGGAUAGCCGGCCCAACGGCCGGGUAAUACCGCGUACGACCACAUGGGGACAUCCCUGAGUGGUGAAAGCAGCAAUGCGCCGAUGGAGUGCCUCGCGGCCUAUCAGCUAGUUGGUGAGGUAACGGCUCACCAAGGCGACGACGGGUAGCUGGUCUGAGAGGAUGGCCAGCCCANACGUGGGACUGAGACACGGCCCAGACCUCUAACGGGGA
rnacentral:rRNA from 1 species